AGCUCCUUGUCAAAGCCCAAUCUCAUCAGAUCUCAGAAGCAAAGCAGGGUUGGGCCUGGUUAGUAUUUGAAUUGGAGAUUGUUUGGAAUACGAGGUG
rnacentral:rRNA from 1 species